rnacentral:rRNA from 1 species
CAGUCGCCGCGGGAAUACGAAGGGUGCAAGCGUUACUCGGAAUUACUGGGCGUAAAGCGUGCGUAGGUGGUGGUUUAAGUCCGUUGUGAAAGCCCUGGGCUCAACCUGGGAAUUGCAGUGGAUACUGGGUCACUAGAGUGUGGCAGAGGAUAGUGGAAUUUCCGGUGUAGCAGUGAAAUGCGUAGAGAUCGGAAGGAACAUCUGUGGCGAAGGCGACUAUCUGGGCCAACACUGACACUGAGGCACGAAAGCGUGGGGAGCAAACAGGAUUAGAUACCCCAGUAGUCCCUGUCUCUUAUAC